rnacentral:lncRNA from 1 species
UGCCACUGAAGCUCAAGGGAAAAUUUUAUAGGACGGCAAUAAGGCCGGCGAUGCUGUAUGGCACAGAAUGUUGGGCGGUGAAGCAUCAACACGUACACAAAAUGGGUGUAGCGGAGAUGAGGAUGCUUCGUUGGAUGUGUGGGCACACGAGAAAGGAUAAGAUUAGGAAUGAGGAUAUCCGGGGUAAAGUAGGAGUAGCCGAAAUUGAAGGAAAGAUGAGAGAAAAUCGGUUACGGUGGUUUGGACACGUGCAAAGAAGGCCUACUGACGCUCCGAUUAGAAGAUGCGACUAUGGGACAGAGGUUCAGGGCCGAAGGGGUAGAGGAAGACCUAAGAAAACUUUGGAAGAGACUCUAAGAAAAGACUUACAGUACUUGGAUCUAAUGAAGGACAUGACACAGGACCGAGCACAAUGGCGUUCUAAGAUUCAUGUAGCCGAUCCCACUCAGUGACUUGGAUUUUCCAAGUCUCCAACCGAGAAGUUUUCCUCACUCAGGAAAUUAAGGGAACACUACCUCAACCUACAUGCUCCACUCACAAAGCUCCAACAAAAGAAAAUUCAAAGAACUUAGAGAAGAAGGCUUUGGUGUAUUUAACACAAUACGUUGAAAUGAAGGAAAGCUUAUUUAUUGAUAUCCCCGAUAAGCUACAAAUAUGUACAUAUACAUGAGUCAAAAUAAACAAACAAGAGAGAGCCUUCACAAAGGUUGCUUAGGAGAAGUCGCAGCAGUCGGUAGAGCCCCAGAAAGAGAAGGCACCGGAGGGGGAUCAUUCGGAGCCUCAGUACUGGACAGAACCCUAGAAGGAGGAGGCAUCAGAGGUUGAUCAUUUGGAGCUUCAUUACGCGGUACAGCCCCAGAAGACGAAGGCAAUAAAUGCCUUUGGAACAAACCCACAAAUCUUUGAUGAUCGAGUAAAACCUGACCAUCAGAUUCCUUCAUCUGGUCCAGCUUCCUCUUCAUGUUUGUAGCAUAGUCAUGUGCGAGACGGUGCAACUGUUUAUUCUCAUGCUUGAGCCCUCUAAUCUCCUGUUUGAGACUCAUCACUUCAGCCGCCAAUGAUUCAACUUGGCGGGUUCGAGCAAAUAGGCGUUGGGCCAUAUUAGACACAGAACCUGCACACUGAACACUGAGAGCCAGAGAAUCCUUAACAGCUAACUCAUCAGAUCGUUUGGAAAGUAGUCUGUUUAUCUUUGGGAGUGAGAAGGUUCCUGGCCACCACCGCAGCGGUCAUAUCAUUCUUCAUAACGGAAUCCCCAACGGUAAGAGGACCAGUAGGGGAGACGAAGGAUGGGCGCCAUAUGUUGUCUGGAGAAGGCGGGGCUGCCUCUUCAACAAGGUUCAAGUCAAAAACGACGGUCGGAGGGGCCAGACAUUUUCAAAGGUGUUGAAGAGAGAAGAGGUCGAACAAAUCAAGAUCUUAGAAGUGUAAGAAUGGAGCUUCUACUGGUGGAGAUUCAAGUGUGCUUUGGAACUUAAUGCCAGCCCGUAUAAAAAUCUGCACUCGACGGAGCUUCAGAAAUCGAAGAGGCGCCUGCUCAGAAAUCGAAGAGGCGUUUGCUUUCUCAAAAGCUGGGCUGCUCAGAGACCACGAGGGUCGAUCUCAGAAAUCGAAGAGGCGUCUGCUUUCUCAAAAGUUGGGCUGCUCAAAGACCACGAAGGCCGAUCUCAGAAAUCGAAGAGGCGCUUGCUUUCUCAAAAGUUGGGCUGCUCAGAGACCACGAGGGCCGAUCUCAGAAAUCGAAGAGGCACCUACUUUUCCAGCCUUGGCAGCACCUGUCACACGCACACUCAGCUUUGCGGAAAUUAUGGGCAUUCUGUCGAAGACUUCUGGUGAAGUAGAAAGCACAUGAGUCUUACUGUUCAAUCACCCACUUCCCACACGCAAUAGUAGCUCAUGUGUAUCACAGAUAACUUUGCCAAAGUUCUCUGCCAAAGUUGAGCACGUGAAGCUUGCAGCUUCCACUACAUCGCUCUGACCAAGACGGGUAAAAGAAUAGCAAAGAAACAGCACUAACAAAGUUUAGACACAUAAAUUUUGAAGGUCUAGCUACCCCAUAUUAUUACCCACAAGGGUAAAGGAACAGUAUCACUGCUGGAUAAUUGGAAAGUCCCUGUGUGUCAACCUCUGUGCUUUGUGGCAAGGUAGACUAGCAAACAUGCCCAACCUUUACUCACAUUCGACGAGAAAACACUCCCAACAAGAUUGCUUGCUCCAAAAUCGAAGAGGCACCGUCCUCCGAAUCUCGAGAGCCAGACUCCCAACAUGACUACUUUUCUCAAAAAUCGAAGAGAGGGUAAAGGAACAGUACCAUUGCUGGAUAAUUGGAAAGUCCCUGUGUGUCAACCUCUGUGCUUCGUGGCAAGGUAGACUAGCAAACAUGCCCAACCUUUACUCACAUUCGAGAAAAAACACUCCCAACAAGAUUGUUUGCUCCAAAAUCGAAGAGGCACCGCCUCCCGAAUUCUCGAGAGCCAGACUCCCAACAUGUUUACCCUCCGAAGAGCCGCUCUCCGAAUCUCGAGAGCCAGAUCCCAGAAUCGAAGCAAGAGCUCGAAAUCUCCGAAGAAGCCAGAGCAGACCCAACAUGAUUGCUUUCUCAAAAUCGAAGAGACAUCGUUCUCCGAAUCUCGAGAGCCAGAUCCCUGAUAGGAUUGCUUGUUCGAAAAAACGAAGAGGCAACACUUUCCCAACUACAAGAGCCGGAUCUCUCUUGGAUAAAGCUGUCUGUAAUCUUCACACGCAACAUCAGCUUUCCACAUACCACAGACCACUUUUUCAAAAGUGCUCUGACAGGGUAAAGGAAUAGCAUUACUACUUGUUGUUAAAGGAGACUCCUAUAUAUGUCAACCUCCAUCCCCAACGGACAGACAGACCUGCAAAAAUGCUCAAACCCUUCCUCAUAUAUGAGAGGGCACUCUCAACGAAGCCUUUCGAAAUAUAUUCAGCUUUCUUUCCCCCCGAUAAUACCUCUGCAAACAAGUUAUACUAGAGCAAGAAAAUAUCUCAUAUCAUCAGGGUUAAAAGCAAGAGUAUCCCAUAUCAUGCUUUUUCCCUGUCUUUUCCUUUGGCCUUGUUCUUACCUGCAAGACAAGGAGAAAAGAGAGCAAUCAGUCAGCACUUGGAAUCAAGCUUCCAGCCAGGAACUGACUGCUGCCUGGAACUUACUUACCUGGCAUUGCUCUCGAGUACUCAUCUUCAAACAUCUUAUGCUUCCAGGGAAGAUAUACCGCAUCUGCCUGAGGAACAGAUAGGGCAAGUGAGAAGGAUACAAGGAAGCAUGUGUGGAGACAAGCGUAACAGCAGCACACGUGCCGAUACAUCCAUUACUCUGUCAAAGCAAAAGUAUCCCAUAUCAGUAGGGUCGAACGUACUCUAGAUUUGAUGGACUUGUUGUUUGACCCUCAAAUUCUUCAGUCGGCCUUAUACUCUGGAGGAAACCAGAAAACCCUCCAGCUCAGUUCAAGAAUAAGCCUGUGGAAAGUUACUUCUUCAAAAAGCAAAAGUAUCCCAUAUCAUCUCUUCUCAUUUUUCUUCUCUUUAUCCUUCAUGCUGCCUGCAAGAUAGGGAUAAUGUGAACAAUCAGCCGGAGCUCUGAUUGCUUACCUUGUCUGUCACCUCUUUCAGCAAAUCCCUAGCUCGGCAACUUGAGGGACUCCUACUACAUGGUUUGUAUCGCGCUUGACCAAGCCUGAAACUACAAGUAAGCUUCAAGUGAAAGCUUCAAAUGAAAUUGAUACAUUACCUUGUGCAUCUCUCCACCAGUUAAAGAUACCACCCCUGGAUGGAGGAAGAGUACUUCCAGAGAAGAUGAUGACACAUCUACCUGUGAGACAGAUAAGGCAAGUCAAUCAAGACGAUACCACAUUCCGAUACUUAGAAGUUUCGUGAUUACGAGAUCAUUAUCCCACAAUAUUUCCUAAUGUCAUUUGUACUAAAUCAUUCACCUGUACUCACUAAAGGAAAGCUUGAACCUAUGUACUUGUGUAAACCCUUCACAAUUAAUGAGAACUCCUCUAUUCCGUGGACGUAGCCAAUCUGGGUGAACCACGUACAUCUUGUGUUUGCUUUCCUAUCUAUAUCCAUUUAUAUACUUAUCCACACUAAUGAUCGGAGAUCGAGCAAUCUAGCGAAGAUCACAAAAAGCGACCGUUUUCGCUACCUAGGAUAUAUCGUGCAAGAGAACGAAGAAUUAGAGAGAUCUCAACCAUAGAAUAGAAUAGAAGUUGGAUAGAUGAAGUGUAAGAGUGCAUCCGGCGGGUUGUGUAACCGUCGUAGGCCACUGAAGCUCAAGGGAAAAUUUUAUAGGACGGCAAUAAGGCCAGCGAUGUUGUAUGGCACAGAAUGUUGGGCGGUGAAGCAUCAACACGUACACAAAAUGGGUGUGGCGGAGACGAGGAUGCUUCGUGGGAUGUGUGGGCACACAAGAAAUGAUAAGAUUGGAAAUGAGGAUAUUCGAGGUAAAGUAGGAGUGGCCGAAAUUGAAGGAAAGAUGAGAGAAAAUCGGUUCCGGUGAUUUGGACAUGUGCAAAGAAGGCCUACUGACGCUCCGGUUCGAAGAUGUGACUAUGGGACAGAGGUUCAGGGCCAAAGGGGUAGAGGAAGACCUAGGAAAACUUUGGAAGAGACUCUAAGAAAAGACUUAGAGUACUUGGUUCUAACGGAGGACAUGACACAAAACCGAGCGCAAUGGCGUUCUAGGAUUCAUAUAGCCGACCCCACUUAGUGGGAAAAGGCUUUGUUGUUGUUGUUGUUGUUGUUG